rnacentral:lncRNA from 1 species
GACAUAAAGGCAUAGGCAGCAGUGAACUCAACCCAGAAAAGAAAGAACUAGAAAUUCCUUUGCAGAAAACCUAAAGACCAACCUCAGCAUAGACUAAAUUUGCUUCAUACAACUAUUUCUGAUAAACAUAGCAUACUGGUACUCAGGAGAAUGGGAAGUCACUAGACAAAUGCAGGGGGAGAAAUAAGGUUGUAGGUUUAGACUGCAAACAGGGGACAACAUACCCAGGCAGAAACCAUGGAGAAACUUUCUUGUGAUAGAAAGUCUUGUGACAGCUUAAUCCCAGCUCUGGGAUUUGAGUGCUUCUUCAAACAUUCCUACUAUUAGAGAUUUCUCUCCCUAUGCAUUUUUUUUAUUCCUGCCUUCAGGUCACAUAUGACUCCCUGGGCAUAUGGAGCUGCCUAGGGUACUGCUCAAACAUUCACAUUUUGAGAAUAGUCAAGUUGGCACAUAAACUUGGGAAGACUUGACUUUCCUGGAGACAUCAAUUUCGUAGAAAUUGGCUCCACAUGAAAUCCAUAUAAAAAUCUACCUACCCAUGGCUGUAGGUAAAAACACACCAAAUAGUAAAUACUCAGGGUGAACAAUUCAGAAAAUCUUGUAUAUGAUAUAUUGACUAUGUUAAAGGUACUGUAUUCCAGUUAGGAGUUUUGUUGCAUGAUUAGAUCAUGACUGUUCUUGACAUGGGGGAAUAUAUGUAUCUAUUUGAGAUAAGAGAUAAAUGAGUUUGUUGUUCAAUUCUAGUGACAAUUUCACUCUAUCUUAUGGUAUUGUUUUGUUUACCUUAAAAUGCACAGUAAAAUUUGUUUUCAAAAAUUUGGUCAAGUACUUGAGUAAAUAUAUUUUCAAAAAAGACAAAGUGCUCAGUAGAUACAUUAAAUAUGCUCAUAGUGACACUAAUCAGUAAAAUGCUCAAAAAUAUGAGGAGAUAUUACCUCACUAUUUUGGGCGGGUUAAUAUUAAAAAUACCAGAGAUAACAAGUAUUGGCAGUAAUAUGGAGCAAAGAGAACCUUGGGCAGGUUAUUUGUGAGAUUAUGUAAAUCGACACACCCACCAUGAAAAACUACAUAAAGGUGCCUUGGAAAAUUGAGAGUAAAACUUACACGUGAUACAGCAAUCCCCCUCCCUGGAAUGCAUCUAAAAGAAAAUAAUUUAUCUCUCACAGAGACAUCUGCAUCUCCAUGUUUCUUGCAGUACUGUUCACAACAAGCAAGACAGAAGCAAGGAAAGACAUAGCGUCCACCAGUGGAUGACUGUGUGUAGGUGAUGUGGAACGUCCACUAACGUUCAAUGGAAUGUUAUUGAGCCUUCUAAAUAGGUAAAUUUUGUCCCUGUGCUGAUGUAAGUGAACACUGAGGACAGUAUUGUGACAUAAAUCAGACAAGAUUACAGUUUGAUCU